GUCCUGAUAGUCUAGUGGCUAGGAUUCGGCGUUUUCACCGCCGCGGCCCGGGUUCGAUUCCCGGUCAGGGAACU